rnacentral:rRNA from 1 species
UCGACUACAUGAAGCUGGAAUCGCUAGUAAUCGCGGAUCAGAAUGCCGCGGUGAAUACGUUCCCGGGUCUUGUACACACCGCCCGUCACACCAUGGGAGUCGGAAAUGCCCGAAGUCUGUGACCGAACCGAAAGGAAGGAGCAGCCGAAGGCAGGUCGGAUGACUGGGGUGAAGUCGUAACAAGGUAAC